rnacentral:rRNA from 1 species
CAGCACCUCAAGUGGUCAGGAUGAUUAUUGGGCCUAAAGCAUCCGUAGCCGGCUCUGUAAGUUUUCGGUUAAAUCUGUACGCUCAACGUACAGGCUGCCGGGAAUACUGCAGCGCUAGGGAGUGGGAGAGGUAGACGGUACUCGGUAGGAAGGGGUAAAAUCCUUUGAUCUAUUGAUGACCACCUGUGGCGAAGGCGGUCUACCAGAACACGUCCGACGGUGAGGGAUGAAAGCUGGGGGAGCAAACCGGAUUAGAUACCCCCGUAGUCC